CCACAAGCUAGAUCAAGAUGAGCUGUAGCCGUUGGCAAACCUGAAAUAUCACAGUAAUUUGUAGCGAAAGGCAAUCAUCCCAACCUUUAAAUCUUCAUCAAACAAGACAAGAUAACAUAAAAUAGACGCGUGAUUUACUCUGAAACACAGGUUGUGGGUAGGUCGAGACAAUUCAGUCGUAAGAAUGUUGUUUCAACAACAGACCUAGCCUGUGCAAGCUCUGAAUUGGGUUGACCCGUCAGAUCGAGCGGCGCAAGGUUUCUAUGACUAUGAAAAGAUGCAUACAUCCUGUCUUAAUUCCUGAAAACAUACUAUAGGUUACUUGAAACUACUUUUGUGCAACAUUAUGAAUGCCUACUUAUCUCCUGAAUCCCAUGCAAAUUUAGCAACUACUUCAGAUUUCAUUACAAAUCUUACCUCCACCAUACUCUAACCCUAUCAACAUCCUAAACACCAAACAAAACAAAACAAAAAAAAUCAGAAUCUUUGAACAAAUACACACCAAAUCUACCUCAACAACUUCACUUCCGCUCCAUAUCUUCAUCAACCUCCUUAAUCUGCACUCUAAAUGCGGUCACAUUAACCAAACCCAGCGACAUGGUCACUAUCUCAAGAGAUCGAGAAUCAACAUGUAGCUACAGCUAUUAUUGCAGCUUGCCAGCAACAUGGUGAUGCGAGUCAAACCAUUGAACUAUUUCAAGAAAUGCUGGGAUAGAGGUGAAACCUUAUCACAUCAAAUUUGUUUGCGUUAUUUACAAGCAAGGCAUGUUGAAAGGGGGUAUGAUUACUUCAAUUCCAUGAAAACGGUGCGCAUGGUAUGAGCCCUGGGCUUGAAAACAAUGCUUGCAUGGUUGAUCUACUUGGUCGGGAGGGGAUGAAGCUAAGAGGCUUGCUGAAUCAACAUCUGAUUUAACUGUAUCGAGAGCUUUGCUUGGAGCAUGUGGCAUAUCAUGACGAAAUUGGCAGAAUUAAGUUGCAGAGAGGCUUUGAGAUGGGACAAGAACAUGAAUAAACAUGGGGAUAUUGAAGCAAUAUGAUUGAACAUAAUUCUAGGUCAGUAAUCUAUUGUAUUAACAUUACUUUUGAUGACUAUGUUAUACUUUCUAACAUGCAUGCACGUAAUGGAAUGCUAAGAUCGAAGCUGAUAUGACAAGUUAGAAGAUAGGAGGGGAUCAGAGGGGUUAAAAAGUAACCUGGAUGCAGUUGGGUUGAUGUUAAGGCCUCAACCUGUGUUUACCGCCAGUGAUAGAUCAAAUCCCAUGACAGAUGAGAUUUAUGAACUACUGAGAAAGUUUGACUUGGGUUGUUAAUUUAAUUCAAAGAUUUUUGAACGGUUUACUAAUGGUUUGUGUCCCUGCAUAAUUGUAAUAUUUGCAGAACUCAGUAACAUUCCUUAACAGAUUAAUGUUUAACAAGAUUUCGGAGAUUCAAUCUGGUAAAUAAUGUUAUUGCAGUUCUGCAAAUAUUACAAUAAUGCAGGGGGUCAAAAGUUUUUCUUUUCAGAGAGCUGUUUAAUCCUGGGGUUAAGAUCUGUCGGAACAAAUCAGUUUUGGCAGGCCUCUUCCAUCAACCUAUGCUGGCUAGUAGAAACCAUCAACUUCUUCUAUGUUCAGUCCUGAACACCAUAUCAUGAAUUUAUUACUUUUUUUUGUUACAAUAGCCAUUUAAAAGCUUAAUUGGGCUUCAAGCAGUCUCCUGGUGCAUAGACAAGGAAGUCCCUAAGGAUUUUCCUCUGAUCCAAUGGUAUUAUGAUGUAUGAAUUCAAAGGACUCAACUCAGUCUGUAUUAGCAAUUGGAUCUAUAGUUUUUCUUCAGAAAUUCAGAACUCCACUGUCUGUGUAAUGUUUCAUGAACAAGAACAUGCAGCACUUCGAAGACAGAGCUUUCAUUUGCAUAGAAAUCACUUAAAAGAGUUGGAUAAUAGAUGAAAAGCAGUCAGGAAAAUUCAGAACUAUUUAAAAGCAGAUGAGAAAAACCAGAUCCAGAACUCUACACGCAAGAUUCAUCUAUGAUAAACUCAGAUGCGAAUAGAGAGAUAGAUCUGGUAGAAGCAGGUGAAGCAAGCAAGCCAAACAUACUUGUAACGAGGGAGGAGCAGAGGUGAGGUGAUGAGGAGAGGGAGGAAUGAUCGGAAACCUAUGGGAUGGGUGGAGUUGGGAAAAUAACAAACACAAAAGCUUAGUUAUCUUCCCCACUCACCCAUCCAAUAACCUUCCGAACACCCUACUCCCUCUCCAUUUCCUCCCAUACAACAUAACCUUCAAGGCGGCUGGCUACCAAAGCAGUUGCGAACCCUUACCUGCCUCUUGCAUCCAGCCCUUAUAUAUACUGUGUCAACUUCAACCUAACUUAGUUGUUUAC
rnacentral:lncRNA from 1 species